GAUGAACGCUGGCGGCGUGCUUAACACAUGCAAGUCGAACGGAGUUAUUUGAAAGCUUGCUUUUGAAUAACUUAGUGGCGGACGGGUGAGUAACGCGUGGGUGACCUGCCUUAUACUGGGGGAUAACACUUAGAAAUAGGUGCUAAUACCGCAUAAGCGCACAGUUCUGCAUGGAACAGUGUGAAAAACUCCGGUGGUAUAAGAUGGACCCGCGUCUGAUUAGCUAGUUGGUGAGGUAACGGCCCACCAAGGCGACGAUCAGUAGCCGACCUGAGAGGGUGAUCGGCCACAUUGGGACUGAGACACGGGCCCAAACUCCUACGGGAGGCAGCAGUGGGGAAUAUUGGGCAAUGGGGAAACCCUGACCCAGCAACGCCGCGUGGAGGAGAAGGUUUCGGAUCGUAAACUCCUGUCCUCAGGGAAGAGCAGAAGACGGUACCUGAGGA
rnacentral:rRNA from 1 species